GCACACUCCAUUGCUAAACGCGUUCUUGUCUACAAACGCUAGCGGGUAACCUAGAAACAAAGGUCUUCACAUAGAGAGAAAGAGUGGGAGAAGAAAUCAUAGCGGACAGAGAUAGAGAUGAGCUUCCUGUUGUUUUUCUCGUCGAUUGCUCCACAAUUUUUUUUCUGAUCACUUGUUCUCUCUUUAGUCUAUCUGCUAAUUCCUUCAAUCUUGAGGUACGCUCUUUAUUGUUUCAAGAUUUGGAAAGAAGGAAAACAAAGAACAGAGGGAACGGUUAUGCUGGAUCUUCGGUCGUUUUUCGUUUCAGCCGCUCAACGACAAUCCUAUGUUUGGUCCUUCUUCUUCAACUGGUGGUUGGCAUGGCCCUAGGUUGAAAAGUCAUCUUCAGGAAUUGAUGGGUGAAGAACAGGUUUUGAUCUUAACUCUGUGAAGCCUCAUGAGUACAAACUCAUUAUGAAUUGUGGUUGCAGGAGGUGAUAGUGCAGUAGGUUGGGUUUUGGGACUUCUCGGUACAGGCAACGACUUUUCAAGAACUUUCGGGUUGGGCUGGUUCAAUCCCUAUGUACUGGAAAUCCGUAGUCAAGAAGACUCUCGACAAUGCCUGCACAGGCAAACUCUGUCGUUUGAACAGG